AUGGUUCCAGUAAUUCAUGCUCUUGGCUAUAUAAAAGAAACAGUGGAAAAGGCUUCAGUGUCAUGCUCAGUGAAUGAAGCUAGAAUCGAUUCUAUUCAAAAAUUCAAUGUCACUGUCAGUACAAAGAAAUGGUUUGAUGGUGAAAUUGUCACCUGCACCACCAGUGACACAAAUAAUAACAGAGACGUCAAGCAGGAGAUCCAAUUUAAAAAAGGAGAUGGAAAGACAUCUACUGUUACUAUUUACAAACCUGAUAGUAUGGACACAGAAACUGUCUCUCAUGUGUGUGAGGUCACCAGUCCUAAACUUGGCGAUUUCUAUACCACGUGGAAAAUGGGUCAGCCUUACAUAGAGGGCAGAACCAGUGCUCCCAUCCAUCAAAAUAACUAUAUGUCUGCUCUCAGCAUCUUAACAAUGACACAACAAGAGUAUGAAGAUCUCAAAACCACCAUCACUUACGCAGUCAUACAUACCAACAUGAAAAAUACAAGAUCUCCAUUACAAGUGUCAACAGGCAAAAGUGAGUCACCUGAGCCAGAGAAUGGUUUUGCUCUGGACUGAGCAAAACCAUUUAGAGGUCUCUGGUCUACUGCCACCUCAUUCAUCUUCCUCUUCCUCUUUUCUCUGACCUACAGCGCUGUACUCAGCUUCUUUCUUCAAGGUGAAGCACUGAUGGUUUGUUAAAAGAACUGGUGAAGACUCCAAGGUUUCUUAUUUGUUUUGUAAAUGUAAUUAAAUGUUAGUCAAAUCUAUUUCGAAAUCAAAAAGGAAAAUAA